rnacentral:lncRNA from 1 species
AUGCAGAGAACAAUAUUACCCUUUUCAAGCAUCCUCAAGGUUUGGUGUUCACAACGGGAGAUGCAGCUGCGCAUUUAUUGCAGGGACCAGCUGGAAGAACCACCCAAAAAUGUCAGGCACAUGCUUAAGGACCCACUUUGCAGGGGGAAGAAGGGGAUGCUUCACAGAAAGCUGAGGAGGCACGUGUGCGUGUGUGAGCCACAACUGGAUGUCGCUGUUAGUCAAAGCUCUGAGACAAAGCCUGCUAUACAGAGAUCUGUGGCAAGAACAGCUCUGGAAAUAAAUAGAAAAGGUUAUUUAUUUAUUUAUUGGAGGAACCGAGAAGAGGGACCCUAUUUACAAAGGCAGUCUGGCUCCAGAACAGUUUGUUUUCCACGAGUUCAUCAUCUCCAAGGUCACCCCGGUGUGCGUCCCAGCCAUACCUCCUGUGCCUUCAGAACCCCACCAAGGGUGGAAAGGGGGGAUUUUGCUUGA